rnacentral:rRNA from 1 species
CAACGCGGGGAGGUAGUGACAAGAAAUAACAACAACUAACCUAUUUCAGGUGAGUUGAUUGGAAUGAGUACAAUCUAAACACCUUAACGACUAUCCAUUGGAGGGCAAGCCUGGUGCCAGCAGCCGCGGUAAUUCCAGCUCCAAUAGCGUAUACUAAUGUUGUUGCAGUUAAAAAGCUCGUAGUCGGAUUUCAGUAGGCUCAGUUAAGUCUCUUCUAUUGAGUUCUUUAUGGGCCUGCUUCUUUGACAGAAACUUCUAUGUUAUUCAUUUAGCGUGGGUAGCGACUGUCUCUUUUACUUUGAGAAAAUUAGAGUGUUCAAAGCAGGUAUUCGCCUGAAUAUUACUCUUGGAAUAAUGCUAUAAGACUUUGGUUCUAAUGUAUUGGUGAUUGGGACCAGAGUAAUGAUUGAUAGGGACGGUUGGGGUCUUACGUACUGCAAAGCGAGAGGUGAAAUUCUUGGACCUUUGUAUGACGAACAACUGCGAAAGCAUUGGACUAGGACGUUCCCGUUGAACAAGAACGAAAGUUGGGGGAUCGAAGACGAUCAGAUACCGUCGUAGUCUCAAUCAUAAACUAUGCCAGCUAGGGAUCGGAGGACGUUACAUGUUCGACUCCUUCGGCACCUUAUGAGAAAUCAAAGCAUUUGGGUUCCGGGGGGAGUAUAGUCGCAAGGCUGAAACUUAAAGGAAUUGACGGGAGGGCACCACCAGGAGUGGAGCCUGCGGCUUAAUUUGACUCAACAC